AUGCCAAGGAGAGGAACUCCAUGCGUAUGGGAGGCCAGCCGCUCCCCAAUCUUCAGAUCUGACCAACGUGGGAGGAAUUGUUGGAGCACAACCAAAUCCAAACGCCUCACCGAAGUUUGCAAUGGAUCAACCUUGAAGACACUCGGAACAUUUACUUCGAGUGAAGACUCUAGCGGCGCUAUUGCCACUGCCCCGACCUCGCCGAUUGUUGACCUCGCUGGCUUGACAGCGUCCUUUUUGAUUCUGAACAUAGGUGCUACUCUCCUGGACACCGCCGACUCAGGUCCUACUCUCCUGGACGCCGCCGACUCAGGUGGAUAA
rnacentral:rRNA from 1 species